rnacentral:rRNA from 1 species
GACGAACGCUGGCGGCGUGCCUAAUACAUGCAAGUAGGACGCAGUUGCGACCGGGUGAGUAACGCGUCGGUAACUGCCUAUUAGAGGGGGAUAACUAUUGGAAACGAUAGCUAAUACCGCCUACUAGUCGAUGGACCUGCGUUGUAUUAGCUAGUCGGUAGGGUAAUGGCCUACCGAGGCGACGAUACAUAGCCGACCUGAGAGGGUGAUAGGCAAAACGUGGACUGAGACACGGCCCAGACUCCUACGGGAGGCAGCAGUAGGGAAUCUUCGGCAAGGGGGGGAAGCCUGACCGAGCAACGCCGCGUGAGUGAAGAAGGUUUUCGGAUCGUAAAGCUCUGUUGUUAAGGAAGCGGUACUUAACCAGAAAGGGACGGCUAACUACGUGCCAGCAGCCGCGGUAAUUC